AGAUCAUGAAUGUAACACUGAACAAAUCGAACAGUUUCUUAUAGAAACCCUUCCAGAAAUCAGUGAUUCAUUUACUAUUUUCUGUGGAGAUAUGAAUGCUCGCACAGGUGAGCAAAAUAACCAUUACGUUAGUUAUGAUGGUGAUAUCGGAAGUAAACAUCUAAAAUAUAGUGAAGAAGGGGAUACCCCACUCGAUGACCUCAAAUCUCAUGACAAAGUUGUAAAUAGUAUUGGUCGUACUUUACUAGAUAUCUGUAUCACCUUUGU